rnacentral:rRNA from 1 species
GCUUACGGCCACACCACCCUGAGCACGCCCGAUCUCGUCCGAUCUCGGAAGCUAAGCAGGGUCGGGCCUGGUUAGUACUUGGAUGGGAGACACCUGGGAAGGAUAGCUCAGAGGUGCUGUAAGCU